rnacentral:sRNA from 18 species
GUAAGAGUGAUAUGAAAAAGCCUUUGGAGUCGAAACAUGGCAAGACGCCCAGAGGCUUUUCAUUU